rnacentral:rRNA from 1 species
UACGUAGGGGGCAAGCGUUGUCCGGAUUUAUUGGGCGUAAAGAGCGUGUAGGCGGCUAGGUAGGUCCGUUGUGAAAACUCGAGGCUCAACCUCGAGACGUCGAUGGAAACCAUCUAGCUAGAGUCCGGAAGAGGAGAGUGGAAUUCCUGGUGUAGCGGUGAAAUGCGCAGAUAUCAGGAAGAACACCCGUGGCGAAGGCGGCUCUCUGGUACGUGACUGACGCUGAGACGCGAAGGCCAGGGGAGCAAACGGG